CUCCCCGCGCUGCCGCCCCGCCGCCGCCGCGCAGCCCCGCCGGGGCGCCGCGCCGCGCCGCCAGGGCUCGGUCCCCGAGCGGCGGGCACCGUUUGCUGGAGAAGGCGCAGUGUGACCUUCUGGAGGCAGGUGACAGGCACCUGUGGAAGGUGGUCUGUCAAGCUGCCAUCCUGCCUCUCCAGUCUGGCAGGGUUGCAGGCCCCGGACAGGGUCGCAGGCAAAGGCCGAGCACCCCCGGGCCACCAGGCUGAGCACGGUGCCCCUGACGGUGGUCCAGGGCCAUCGCUUCAGCUUUGGUGCAGCUGAAUGGAUCCCAAAACGGUAUCUCCACGUGGUGCCCCAGUCUCUCUGCGCAGCAUGCAUCACUAAUAAAACAUUCAAAUGCAGUCCACAUAAACACUGUGCUGUUUUACAGUCUUGAUGAAUUGUCAGAGCAUUUUCAGAUCAGGUGCUGAAGCCUCACAGCACUAAGAAAAGGAUGGUUUAUUAUCUUCAUGUUACAGGGCCGAAACUGAAGGUACUCUGGGCUUGUUCAAGGUCGUUGAGGAAGAGAUAGCAAUGCAACAGUCCUGUACUCCUACUCUUGGAGUUUUUGAAUACCACAUAAUUUUUCUGCUUUGUCUUGGAAAAAUCCUCCCAUUUCGGACAUUUAUCUUGAGUGUCAUUCCUCAAGCUGCCAACGUCCAAAUGGAGAUACCGUAUGUGACAAAGCCAUAUAUAAUGAUGGUAACAUAAAAGAGUAGCAUCUACAUGACUUCAAAUACUAUGGCAUUCUUGACCUAAGAACUCUAUGAUUUCAGAGAUCACAAUUUAAACUACGCAAGUGGUAAGCUACCAUGCCUGUAGGGAAACUAUGGGAACAAAAAUGAGUGGUAUUCUUUGAAAUGAGACACAUUUGUGGCAGGUGAGCUAAACUCAAUCCACUCUGAUUUGAUAGUAUAAUUUACAAAUCCUGUGUCAUGACAUUGUAAAUUCAUGGUGAUUCAAAAAUAUCUGGAAAAAUGGGACUGCUAUGAGACAUAAAUAAAUUCAAGGAAAUAUCUUUAAAAAAAAAUCCCAGCAGAAGCAAAAGCUGCAGAAAAUGCGAUGUCUCUACUUUGGAAUUUUUUUGUCUACCUCUUUAUUAGAUCAGAAUGUAAAUUAUCAUAAGCAUCAGAGAGAACAUGGCUCUGUCCUCCACAGCAUGAAUUACCUUGUGAAUUUCUAAGCAGAGGCUAUUCACUCCAGAAAUAGGAAAGGCACAUACUGUUUCUUAUGAGAAUGGUGUCCAAGAGUUUGGCAUACUGGACAGACUACAAACACCUAUAGUCCAAAAUGGAACGGAAAAAAUGAUAAUUUUUGUAUAAAAUCUGGGACAAAUGUAACCCAAAUUGACAUACUGCAGUCAUUAGUUUAAAUGCCAAGAACAUUAAAAAAUGAAUGUCAGUAUUGGGUGAGAACUAUUCAUCCUAUAUACUAAAUGUCACCAGCACCAAGAGUGAAAAAGAAGCCAAGAGUUGAAGGUGCCAAUAGUUGCAGCCUGUACUAGUUGAGGCCACUCCAGCUAUUCAAAGUAUCCUGCUCGCUGAUAUAAAAUGCAGCUCCUGCCUACUACUUUAGUUUCUUUCUUCCCAUGGUGGAAACAAAAGACCUAGAAAUACUUAUUUAUUCUGCAAUGAUGGCAUCUUUAAAUAAAUUGCUGUUGAGAUAGCAUUCAUAAAGCAAUAAUAUAAACUGUAUUUCAAAGAAAUUGAUUAAUUAUUCUAAAUUUGCAAAUGGAGAAACUGAAUCAUCUAAGGUCACACAAGAGACUUGUAACAAGGAAUUUGAGACCACUGCAACUGGAUUUAAGUGUCAGUCAGAGUCCUAUCCAUGAGGCCAUGAAUGUAUGAGGUCACGCGGUUGUGGAAUCUCCAUCCUUGGGGUUACUCUAAACUCAGGCUCUAAACUCAGAGACUGGGCAAGUCCCUAAGCAACCUGAUCUAAUUGGAUCUCUUUUGAGCAAAGGGCUUUAGAGAUUUAUUUCAACAGAAGUCAUUCUAUGAAUUUGUGAAGUUAAAAGUGAAUAAUGCUUUGUUCUUAUUCUGCAUGUUCUUAUUCUAAUUUCUUAAAGUGUUAUUUAUCAUUGUGCUUUCUUUCCAGUCAGUAUUUACAUUUGCUUUACUACAAACAAAGUGUAAUUAAUACUGUAUCAAAGCAUUGAAGAAUAACCUCUUUUCUGGAAACAGUUCUGAAAAUGUUGCAUCUACAAUGAAUAUUCACUAGAGGUGGUCAAAAAACCCGAAACAUUUCUUACAAAAACCAUGUUCCUUUUUUGGUUGAGUAAUUCCAACCAUCUCUGAUGUGCCAUUUCAUGGGGGAGAAUCCAAACCAACACUGCAAAGGGAAGAGUGAUGGUGUUUUACAACUUCUAGUAUCAAAAGUAUUUUUUAUAUGAAAAUCGUAUUAUGUGUUCAUUAGUAUGUCAUGUGAUUUCUUACAUUAUCAUGGCAUCUUACACACUAUUAAAAUCACCAUGACAGCAUUUUCGUAUACUUAAAUCAAUUUUACUUUCCUCUGACUCUUUUACAUUUUGAUGAGACCUCACUUUGAACUACUACUUUUCAUUUAAUAAGGUGAAAUCUCUUUGGAGUGUGGUAAUUGUUCUGAAUUUGGGGGGGGGAGGGGUCACUUGAUCCCACUGACAUUAACAUACAAAUUCUAGUUUCUUUGCUAUAUAACUAAAUAAAAGAAUCACCUGAUUUUCUGUCACACACAA